CCUCCCAGCUGUGGGUAGAGACACUUUAUUGGCGGUGUUUUUAUAUCAGUCAGGGGCAGAACAACUGGCCAUUCUUUGUUCAUUCUAGCUUGAUGGCUGGCUUGUUGACCAAAGCUAUUUUAUGCUUAAGACAUAUUA